rnacentral:tRNA from 1 species
GGGGAUGUAGCUCAACCGGUAGAGCGCCACAUUUGCAAUGUGGAGGCAAGGGGUUCGAGUCCCCUCAUCUCCA